rnacentral:lncRNA from 12 species
GAGAGAUCCCCAUGGGACUCAUUGUCCCCGGAUUCCUGUGGGAAUGGUGGGAAUGUGGGAUUGGGAAAUAUGGAAUCCCACUGAGGGGUCCCCAUGGGACUCAUUGUCCCUGGAUUCCUGUGGGAAUGUGGGAUUGGGAAUUAUGGAAUCCCACUGAGGGGUCCCCAUGGGACUCAUUGUCCCUGGAUUCCUGUGGGAAUGGUGGGAAUGUUGGGAAUGUGGGGUUGGGAACUAUGGACCCCACUGAGGGAUCCUUAUGGGACCCGUUGUUCCCAGAUUCCUGUGGGAAUGUGGGGAAUGUGGGAUUGGGAAUUAUGGAAUCCCACUGAGGGAUCCCCAUGGGACUCAUUGUCCCCAGAUUCCUGUGGGAAUGCUGGGAAUGUGGGAUUGGGAAUUAUGGAACCCCACUGAGGGAUCCCCAUGGGACUCAUCAUCCUCACAUUCCUGUGG